rnacentral:rRNA from 1 species
AUUGAACGCUGGCGGCGGGCCUAAUACAUGCAAGUCGAGCGAAUGGAGGAGGCGUUCUCCUGUCUUAAGCUAGCGACGGAUGGGUAAGUAAUAGGAGUAUGCCUUAUAUUUAAGGAUAGCGUCCGUACGCGGACGCGAAGCCCACAUCGGUCAUUAUAUUGAAAGGCAUGGAUCUUCAGACCACAAGCUAUCUGAUGUACCUAAUUGAUGGUACCGAGUUGCAUUAGCUAGUUGGUAAGGUAACGGCUUACCAAGGCUACGAUGCGUAGCCGACCUGAGAGGGUGAUCAGCCACACUGGAACUGAGACACGGUCCAGACUCCUACGGGAGGCAGCAGUAGGGAAUCUUCCGCAAUGGGCGAAAGCCUGACGGAGCAACGCCGCGUGAGUGAUGAAGGUCUUCGGAUCGUAAAACUCUGUUAUUAGGGAAGAACAAAUGUGUAAGUAACUAUGCACGUCUUGACGGUACCUAAUCAGAAAGCCACGGCUAACUACGUG